UCUACGGAUGAAAGCGGGGGAUCGCAAGACCUCGCGCGAUUGGAGCGGCCGAUAUCAGAUUAGGUAGUUGGUGAGGUAAAGGCUCACCAAGCCGACGAUCUGUAGCUGGUCUGAGGAGGACGACCAGCCACACUGGGACUGAGACACGGCCCAGACUCCUACGGGAGGCAGCAGUGGGGAAUUUUGGACAAUGGGCGCCAAGCCUGGAUCCAGCAAUGCCGCGUGCAGGAUGAAGGCCUUCGGGUUGUAAACUGCUUUUGUACGGAACGAAACGGUGAGCUCUAAUACAGUUUGCUAAUGACGGUACCGUAAGAAUAAGCACCGGCUAACUACGUG
rnacentral:rRNA from 1 species